GAGCGUCAGGAAGGAGGCCCGAGGACCGGACGGAGUUGGAAGUCUCCGUGACAGGGAGUCAGUGGCCAAGGGAUUCAGGCAGCUUUCAUUCUCCAGACUCUGAAAGGAGCUCACCCCAGCCGGUCAGCCCUGCACAUCUGACGUCCAGAACUGUAAGACAAUACAUCUUUGGGUCCUUCACCACACUGUCUACCUGGGACUCGUGCUUCAGGAAGAAAGGACGGAUGAUGCGCUUGUAGAGCAGCUCCGCUCCAUUAGAAGGGCUCGGGGCCAUACACCACAACAGGAAGCCGCACUGCAGGGAGGAAGAACAGGCUCAGUGAGGCCAGAAUCACUCUUCUCCACGCCCAAGUGCAGGCCCCGACACUGCACAAGAUGCAAGAGGCCCCUGGGAGGAAUGCCCCAGUGCGGCAGCCUAGCAGUGCGGAGAUGUUCCUCAAUGUAGAGCGGACCGUGGAGGAGGUGCUGAGGCGGCUCUCAGAGAGGAUCUCCUCGACAAGCAGCCCGAAAGUACGGAGGACCACAGACACCACUGAGGCUAUGCUUGAGAAGAUUUUCUCCACGGUGGGAGAUACUAAUAGGCGCGUUGCAGCCCUUGAGGGUAAAGUGGAAAGACUGCUUCUUCUGUCUUCACCUGCACCUACAAAUGUAACUCCAGGGACGGCUGAAUUUUGCCCCACGUUGAUGACACCACAGCCGCUACCUGUGCCCAGCCAGAAGCCACAGCCUAGAUAAUGGGAUUUUGAGUGAGGAAAGCAAAGGAAGGGAAAGUGGCCACAACAGAGAGGGAAGGGUAAAGAUGAGACUACUACAAGUAUACAGCAACACCACAAACGUGAACGGGCAAGCACAGACUCCAACCCGCCCUCACAGUGCCGACCCAGCUGUUAAGGGUCCCAUGAAGCCAGUGCCUUCAACUACCCUCAGUAUGCAUGGGGAGUUCCAUGUUUACUGUUAAUUUUCCCAGCUACUUGGCUCCAGCCUCUCUGUCUGGCCAGCAAGCAGAUCUCAGGAAACUAAAAGAUGCUGCCAAAGGGAACCAGAGUGGCACAUUUGCUUUAACACACAAUGAGAACAAAGGGACUGCAUUUAUUACUGGCUGCACCUUUCCUUUCCUCUGCCUAGUGCCAGGUGAAUUUCAGUGGACCCUGCAGACCAUCUCCCUAGUUCCCUAUGGAAGACUAAGUUUUCAUACCCAAGCUUCCUGCUUUUCCACGAUCGCUUUUAUACAGGAUAUGCUUAUACAUACACACCCAAACUCAGCAUAGUAAACAAAAUGUUGAGGUAACAAUUUUGACAAAACACCAGAACUCCUCAUGGGCAUUUUGAAGAGCACGAACAGUGCCAAGGGGUUGUAGUCACAAAGCAGUAGUAUCCUACCAACGCUAUUGACUAUUUGACAGCAGUUAGUUUUAACAUCUAACAUCCCAAUAUAUUUGCUACCUAAAUAUGUUUUUGCUAUGCUUUAUUAUAUAGGAAACUGGUUAGGAGUUUUAGGCCAUAGAACACAUUUAAAUUUUUCUCACUUACAAUGAAGGAGCCAGUGCAGUGGUAUGUGCUCAGCUACUUGGGAGGCUGAGGCACCUGAGCCCAGGAGUUUCAGGCCAGGAUGAGCAACAUAGCAAGACCCCUUCUCAAAAAACUGGUAUUCCUCCACAGAAUGUCUGACUUGCAGGAAUGGAUUAUUCAUGGACAGACACCCACCCACAUCAGAACCACGAGCAUCAAAGUGAGGUGAAAAUGGGCCAGGGACUUAGCUCAGUGGUUCCGCUGCCUGCCUCGCAAGCACAAGGUCCCAACUUCGAUCCCUGGUACCAAAAAAAAAAGUGAAGUGAAAAUGACUCAAUGGAUCAAUAACUGGAAGCUGGGGUCUGUUUUGUGACUACUCAACUCAACCUAAGCGUUAAUUUUCUCUUCCGUAGGGUUUUAGCAAAGUCACAAUUCAUGUAUUUGAAGAAAGUCUAUUAGCAGUAGUGUUACCCUUGAAACAUCUGUCUAUGUAGGUCCCCACCCUUCACCAAUCCAGCCACACUGAUUAUCUUUUCUGGCUGAGCUGAGGCAAGACUUCCAAACAGGGCAGGGUCGGCAUUUACAUCUGUGAAUCUCUUCAGUGUGGUUACUUGGUAGGCUACAUGCCAGAUAGUUAGCUUACUACUUUCUAGUACCUCUAGCUAUUAUCUUGAGACAGUUAAAUAAUUACUGUUCUCUACCGACAUCCUUAGCACUUUCCAGUUCUCAAGUGAAAUUACUUUCUUAUAUUAAUAAAGUUAAUUACUGUUCAA